AUACGGAGGAUCCGAGCGUUAUCCGGAUUUAUUGGGUUUAAAGGGUGCGCAGGCGGCCAUUUAAGUCAGCGGUUAAAUCGUGGGGCUCAACCCCAUUCUGCCGUUGAUACUGGAUGGCUUGAUUGCGGUCGAGGUUGGCGGAAUUCGUUGUGUAGCGGUGAAAUGCAUAGAUAUGACGAAGAACACCGAUUGCGUAGGCAGCUGACCAGACCGCAAAUGACGCUCAUGCACGAAAGUGCGGGGAUCGAACAGGAUUAGAUACCCUGGUAGUCCACGCUGUAAACGAUGAUUACUGGUUGUUAGCGAUAUAUAGCUAGUGACUGAGCGAAAGCAUUAAGUAAUCCACCUGGGGAGUACGGCGGCAACGAUGAAACUCAAAUGAAUUGACGGGG
rnacentral:rRNA from 1 species